GACGAACGCUGGCGGCGUGCCUAAUACAUGCCAGUCGAACGCUGAAGUGAGGAGCUUGCUCUUCUUGGGUGAGUUGCGAACGGGUGAGUAACGCGUAGGUAACCUGCCUUUUAGCGGGGGAUAACUACUGGAAACGAUAGCUAAUACCGCAUAACAUUAGGUGACACAUGUCAUUUAUUUGAAAGGGGCAAUUGCUCCACUACAAGAUGGACCUGCGUUGUAUUAGCUAGUAGGUGAGGUAACGGCUCAACUAGGCGACGAUACAUAGGCGACCCGAGAGGGGGAACGGCCACACUGGGACUGAGACACGGGCCAGACUCCUAAGGGAGGGAGCAGGAAGGAAUCUUCGGGAAUGGGGGGAACCCUGAACGAGCAACGCCGCGUGAGGGAAGAAGGGUUUCGGAUUGGAAAGAUCCGUUGUAAGUCAAGAACGAGGGUGGGAGUGGAAAGUGCACACUGUGACGGUAGCUGAUCAGAAAGGGACGGCUAACUACGUG
rnacentral:rRNA from 1 species